AGAUAUUUAUCACAGGAAGCCUUGGUUGAUAAUGGUAGAUAAUAAAAAUGUUAAUGGGCUCAUUGACUUCCUGUAAACACACAGCAGAGUCCACAAUCUAUAUUUCAUUUCAGUUGUACCAAAGAAGAUCCUACCAUACCUACCUGGCAGGAUGUCUGACAAGGAGUGAAAGAACAGUUUUCUUUCCCAUUUCAAGUCCUUCAGGCCACAAACUGGCUGACAUGGUUGCACCAAAAGGAGUAUCCCGAGCAAGAAGAGCAGAUUAA